CAGCCGCCACGGUAAUACGUAGGUGGCAAGCGUUGUCCGGGAUCAUUGGGCGUAAAGGGCUCGCAGGCGGUUUCUUAAGUCUGAUGUGAAAGCCCCCGGCUCAACCGGGGAGGGUCAUUGGAAACUGGGAAACUUGAGUGCAGAAGAGGAGAGUGGAAUUCCACGUGUAGCGGUGAAAUGCGUAGAGAUGUGGAGGAACACCAGUGGCGAAGGCGACUCUCUGGUCUGUAACUGACGCUGAGGAGCGAAAGCGUGGGGAGCGAACAGGAUUAGAUACCCGGGUAGUCCCUGUCUCUUAUAC
rnacentral:rRNA from 1 species